AUGUCAGCUUUAUUCAAGCAGUUCCUUCCCCUUGCUGGACUUUCCAUCCAUCUAAUCCCUGAGCUCGGGUUCCAGACCUGCGGGUGCCUUCUGACCCUUAA
ensembl:vault_RNA Vault Vault RNA